CACGCUUAAAAAAAGAAAGCAGGUAUCUGGUUCUGGCUAGACCUUCAUGGAAUUUUUUCCUAUUUCUAAAUAAUUCCUAAGCUAAGACAUUCCAUGCAAAAUUUCAACCCAGGGGAGCUGUGUGCAUUCACACCAAGAACCAAUGAUAUAUCCCUUCUACCUCAGCAUGUAUUUAUUUCCAGUGGACUCCCAGGUGGAUCUUCCUGAAAAUACUUGGAACCAAAUGUUUAAAGGCUUGGGUGAAGAGGAAGAGGAUUCUGCUGUAGGAGAGGCAUCAGGAGAUGUUCUACAUGUAGAAGAUAGGAAGUUGCUUUUACUAGCAGGGACAUCUUGCUGUGCUGAG
rnacentral:lncRNA from 1 species